UUUGUUCAUUUCCCCCCCCCCUCAUACACACACACCUUUAUCAUCGAAUCUGCAUAGUUUUCUUGUACCCUUUAUCAACAUUGAUCGCUUGUUCCUUAUUUGUUAAUAAUUUAAUUAUUUUUUACAAUUCGUUGCAAAUGAAAAGUCUUUGAUUGCAUAUGUGUGUUUGUACUGACAAGUGCAUUUUAUUGUGAUUUAUAUAAUAUAUGAUACCUUAUUGAUAAAACUGUCUUUUGAUAUAUUCUCUGCUUAGUCUCUUCUAGAUGUGAAGAUAUAUUGGAUAAAAAAAAAAGUGUUUUUUUUACUUUCCUAUUUUGUGUAUUAUCUAGUAACCAGCCAUUUUUUUUUUUUUAUAAAAAGGAAAUAAUCUGUGUAUGUUUAUGCAUUUUGUUUUUUGUCACUUGAAAGUUUUCAUAGUCUUGUGUUAAAAAGAAAUUCUUUUAUGCAUAAUUAUUUAUGUGUUGAAAUGCGAUACAGCAUAAAAAUAAAUCCAUUUUUUUAAUACUGUGUACAGUAUGUGUAUGUACAUAUAUAUCUAUAAAUACGCUAUGGAAGUGUUAAUCUCUUUGUUGUUUUUUUAACUCUGUUUUAUUUUUUUUGUAGAGGGAAAUUUUAUUUAUGGGGAAACGUUUUUAUUUUCUUUUAUUUAUUGAUCAUUUUUUUAAAUCUUGCUUUUCAAUCUGUAAAAAAUACAUAUUAAUGAAUAAUUGUCUAAUAUUAGACAAAUAAUAAAUAUAUACAUAUAUAUAUCUAUACCUAUACAUAAGUUUUUAAGCAUAUUAUCUUUGUAUGUUUCUAUUCCCUUUUUCUAUAGCAUAUUAAGAUGUAUAGCGUUUUUGUAUGUGUGUUCUCUCUCUGUCUCUCUCCUUUCUUGGAACUAUUGUGAUUUCAACAUUCCAAUUUUCAACAUGUUGAUGCUUGCAUUGUACUGUGGUUUUCAACAAGUUGAUGCUUGUGUUGUUUUAUUUCCUCUUUGUAAAAUAUUCAUUAUUCAGGAAUGAUGAGAAGACACAAACAUCGAUUGCCCCUGAGGGGAUUUUCUUAUGCCAGAAAUGUUUUUUUCUUUUGGUAGCUGACAAGCCAGGGCUAUCUUUCUUGCCUUAACAAUGUCACUUCUAAAGCUUAUAGAAAGGAAAAAGUCUAGAAUCUCCAAACUGGAUUAGGUAUAGAUUGAAUUAAUCAUUGGCUGAAGUUACAACCCUUCAGGUUAUCUGGCCAAUAAUUUGAUGUGAAGCACUCUUUUAGAAUGACUCUCAGUGAAUCCAUCAAACGUUUAUAUCUAGCAAUUAGAACUGAAUGUUUAAGAAUUUAUUUUUGUUUCUAACAAUCCAAUCAUCAAAAUGAUUUUUUUUCUAAUUUAAUGAUGAAAUUCCAGUUUAUUUUUUCUGUAAUAUAAAUGGGAGACAGCCAUACGAGUUCUGUUUAUAAAUGGGCGACAACCUACCAAAAAUAUUGCCACUCAACUAAAUGGUAAAAAAACAUAUAAAUAUCAUUUAUAAAUGGGAGACAGCCUAGCAAAUAAAAGUUGGAGUGAAAAGUGAUCCAAACAUAUUGCCAAUGAAAUAAACAGCACACAUGAAGAAUUGAGGGUAACACUUAGGUACAGCUCGAUAGAAUGUAUUCUAAUCACUAAGUGCUUUCUUAACAUGACUUUUAAAUUAAAAAUACAAAUUCUCCCCCUUUUCCCUUUCAGCUUUGUGGUUUCUCAUUUUCAUAGCUGUCUGAAGCUAAAUAGCAAGUCUAAUAGGUCAAUGUAUGUAGUUGCAAUCUAUUUCAUUCAUCCUUUGAUGCUAAUGCCAUUACUUUCUUGUUAUAUAACAUUUGUAGAUUUAUCUCCCUUUACUUAUGUAGAAGAAAUUUGUUUUCAAUUAUUUAAUCAAAACAAGAAAAAAAAAAAGUUCAGGUUUCAAAAAAAAAAAAAAAAA